rnacentral:rRNA from 1 species
UACGUAGGGUGCAAGCGUUGCCCGGAUUUACUGGGCGUAAAGGGCGCGUAGGCGGCCAGCACAAGUCAGUUGUGAAAUCUCCGAGCUUAACUCGGAACGGUCAACUGAUACUGUGCGGCUAGAGUGCAGAAGGGGCAACUGGAAUUCUUGGUGUAGCGGUGAAAUGCGUAGAUAUCAAGAGGAACACCUGCGGCGAAGGCGGGUUGCUGGGCUGACACUGACGCUGAGGCGCGAAAGCUAGGGGAGCGAACAGG